rnacentral:rRNA from 1 species
AUGGAAUCUGCUCUAUCACCCGGGCACUACCAUGCCGCCUACUGGCGGAGGGCUCUCUAUGUGCACCAACAUGAUUUUGUGAUCAGGAUAACCUUAUCAAACGAUACGUACCAAGUGAUUAAGCUGCCAUUGGGCCUUCAUGUGGAAACCGAUGAACCAGAACAUUACCUAGGAAAGUCAGAAAAAGGGGUGUACUGUGCAUUACUCUACGGCAAUAAUCGUCUUCGACUUCGGAUUUGGUUCCUUGACGAAAUAUGUGGCAAGAUGGACUGGCUCCUGAAACGUGAUAUCAACCUUGCGAAUCUACUAGCAAUUUAUCCUUGGAAAUACGGUGACAGGUCUUGGACUAGGCAAUAUGUUAACGAUGAAAUUGGCAAGAGCAUGGCACCGGCAGAAGCAAAAUUUGAAUCAGACUACUCUAGUAAUGAUGAUGUCAUCGCCACGGAAUAUACCGUUUCUACACUUGGAUUUCAUCCUUAUAGAGAGAUCAUCUUCUUCCGUGCAUCCUUUGGAAGAGCAAUGGCUUAUCACUUCAAUAGCUCAGAGAUUGUAGACAUGGGUUAUUUGCAAGGAAAGGGCCCUCAUGAUUGCGUAGGUGGAUCCUUUCCAUACACCCCGUGUCGGAUGGGGGAGUUGUCAAACAACAUGUAA